GACGAACGCUGGCGGCGUGCCUAAUACAUGCAAGUCGAACGCAGUGGGGACGGGUGAGUAACACGUGGGUAACCUCCCAUCAGAGGGGAUAACACUUGGAAACAGGUGCUAAACCGAUACUGAUGGAUGGACCCCCGGGGCAUUAGCUAGUUGGUGAGGUAAAGGCUCACCAAGGCCACGAUGCAUAGCCGAACGGGAGGGGGGACCGGCCACACUGGGACUUGGACACGGCCCAGACUCCUACGGUGGGCAGCAGUAGGGAAUCUGCGGCAAUGGACGAAAGUCUGACCGAGCAACGCCGCGUGAGUGAAGAAGGUUUUCGGAUCGUAAAACUCUGUUGUUAGAGAAGCGGUAUCUAACCAGAAAGCCACGGCUAACUACGUGCCAGCAGCCGCGGUAAUUC
rnacentral:rRNA from 1 species